rnacentral:rRNA from 1 species
GAUCAAGCGACUAAGUGCAUCUGGUGGAUGCCUUGGCGAUCAUAGGCGAUGAAGGACGUGUAAGCCUGCGAAAAGCGCGGGGGAGCUGGCAAU